ACCCCUAACACUUACAGUACCCACACACACACACACACACACACACUGCACCAGCUUCCUCACACACACAUAGCACCCUCACGCAAACACAGCACCCAAUCACACACAGCACACACACACAGCACCCUUACCCACAUAGCACCCUCACGCAAACACAGCACCCAUCACUCACAUACUACACACCUCACACACACUGCACCCCUCUCGCACACACACUAC